GACGAACCGUGCGAACGUUAUUCGGAAUCACUGGGCUUAAAGCGCGUGUAGGCUGCGAUGUAAGUCAGGUGUGAAAGCCCUCAGCUUAACUGAGGAAGUGCACUUGAUACUGUGUCGCUUGAGUGUCGGAGGGGGUGGCGGAAUUCCCGGUGUAGAGGUGAAAUUCGUAGAUAUUGGGAAGAACACCGGUGGCGAAGGCGGCGACCUGGUCCUUGACUGACGCUGAGGCGCGAAAGCGUGGGGAGCAAACAGG
rnacentral:rRNA from 1 species